AGUGUAAACUUGUUUAUUUGGAAGAAAUUGUUUAGAGUUAAGUGUUUAGUUCUAUUAAAAUCAUUUUUUAAUAUAGGUAUUUUAGUAAUUUGAAGUAAAAAGAUUUUGUUAAGGCUAUAGUGAAGAGUACUGUGAAGGAAAGGUGAAAUAACAUGAAAUAAUUUAACUGGAAAAAAGUAGAAAUUAAGUUUUGUACCUUGUGUAUCAGGGAAAAUUAAAAUUUUCUUUUUAUAUUAAGAAAUCCCGAAAAAAGAAGAGUUAAUGUAAAAUAGAGUUUUUCGUUUUAAAGAAAUUUUGAAUUUUAUAUUGGUGAUGAGAUGUCAGUCGUUUCUUUAUAUCUGGUUAUUAAUGAAUUAAAUUUAAUUUAGUUAUUUUUUGAUAGAGUUGAAGUUAAAAAAUAGUAAAGAAUAGGAGGGAAGAGCUUCUUAUUCUAUAAUAAAUUAAUUGUGAGUCGUCAUUGUAAAUUUAUAUUAAAUUAGGCUUAAAAGCAGUCAAAUUUAUAAAGCGUUCUAGCUAAUAUAAAGGGUUUUUAUUAUUUAAGAUGAGUCCGAUUAUAGUAAUUAAUAAUUUUAUGGAAUAUUAGUGUAAAAGUUAUAAUGAUUUUAUUAGUAGAGAUAAGUGUGUAAAAUAAGUUUAAAAUAGAAUAUGAAGUAUUAGUUUUGAAAUGUAUAAUAAAGGAACUCGGCAAACAUUAUUUUUGCCUGUUUAUCAAAAACAUGUCUGUAUGGUUGUUAUAUAGAGUCUGGCCUGCCCACUGACAUACGUUAAAGGGCCGCGGUAUUUUGACCGUGCGAAGGUAGCAUAAUCAUUAGUCUUUUAAUUGGAGGCUUGUAUGAAUGGUUGGACAAAAAAUAAGCUGUCUCUGUUUUAUUUCUUGAAUUUAACUUUUAAGUGAAAAGGCUUAAAUGUUCUAGGGGGACGAUAAGACCCUAUAAAGCUUUACAGUGUGCUAAUUAAAUUAUAAAUUGUUAGUAUAAACUUGGUUUGGUUAGUAGCUGUUUCGUUGGGGCGACGAAAAUAUAAUUGAUAGUAACUGUUUUUCUUUUAUAAUAACAAUAAAUUUUUGGUAGAAAUUGAUCCUUUAUUAAAGAUUAAAAGAUUAAGUUACUUUAGGGAUAACAGCGUAAUCUUCUUUGAGAGUUCAUAUCGACAAGAAGGGUUGCGACCUCGAUGUUGAAUUAAGGUUUCCUUGUGGUGUAGCAGUUUCAUGGGAGGGUCUGUUCGACCUUUAAAUCCUUACAUGAUUUGAGUUCAGACCGGCGUGAGCCAGGUCGGUUUCUAUCUCCUAGGUGUGAGAGAUUACUUUAGUACGAAAGGAUUGAGUAGUCAAAAUAAUUUUUGAGAAAAGAGUAAUAUUAAUAG
rnacentral:rRNA from 1 species